CGGAACGACGGGGAAGCGGGUGGGGGAAGACGGAGGGUGAGGGCGUGAAUCGUAAGUACGGGUGUGAAAGGUUGCGCAGGCGGCAGAGCAAGUGAGGUGUGAAAGGCCCGGGCUUAACGUGGGAAUUGCGCUCGAAACUACUGUGCUGGAGUGUGGCAGAGGAAGGUGGAAUUCCACGUGUAGCGGUGAAAUGCGUAGAGAUGUGGAGGAACACCAAUGGCGAAGGCAGCCUUCUGGGCCAACACUGACGCUCAUGCACGAAAGCGUGGGGAGCAAACAGGAUUAGAUACCCGUGUAGUC
rnacentral:rRNA from 1 species